UGAAUUAAUGUGAACUGCAUACUGCUUUGAACAUCGACAUCUUGAACGCACAUUGCGGCCAUGGGUUUUCCUGUGGCCACGCCUGUCCGAGGGUCGGCUU
rnacentral:rRNA from 1 species